rnacentral:rRNA from 1 species
GAUGAACGCUGGCGGCGUGCUUAACACAUGCAAGUCGAACGGUGAAGCCCAGCUUGCUUGGUGGAUCAGUGGCGAACGGGUGAGUGACACGUGAGCAACCUGCCCUGGACUCUGGGAUAAGCGCUGGAAACGGCGUCUAAUACUGGAUAUGAGCCUCUUCCGCACGGUGGGGGUUGGAAAGAUUUUCUGGUCUGGGAUGGGCUCGCGGCCUAUCAGCUUGUUGGUGAGGUAGUGGCUCACCAAGGCGUCGACGGGUAGCCGGCCUGAGAGGGUGACCGGCCACACUGGGACUGAGACACGGCCCAGACUCCUACGGGAGGCAGCAGUGGGGAAUAUUGCACAAUGGGCGGAAGCCUGAUGCAGCAACGCCGCGUGAGGGAUGACGGCCUUCGGGUUGUAAACCUCUUUUAGCAGGGAAGAAGCGAAAGUGACGGUACCUGCAGAAAAAGCGCCGGCUAACUACGUG